rnacentral:rRNA from 1 species
AGGAUGAACGCUGGCGGCGUGCUUAACACAUGCAAGUCGAGCGAAGCAUAAAAACAGAUUUCUUCGGAAUGAAAUUUUUAUGACUGAGCGGCGGACGGGUGAGUAACGCGUGGGUGACCUGCCUCAUACAGGGGGAUAACAGACAGAAAUGUCUGCUAAUACCGCAUAAGCGCACAGUGCUGCAUGGCACAGUGUGAAAAACUCCGGUGGUAUGAGAUGGACCCGCGUCUGAUUAGCUAGUUGGUAAGGUAACGGCUUACCAAGGCGACGAUCAGUAGCCGGCCUGAGUGGGUGAACGGCCACAUUGGGACUGAGACACGGCCCAAACUCCUACGGGAGGCAGCAGUGGGGAAUAUUGCACAAUGGGGGAAACCCUGAUGCAGCGACGCCGCGUGAAGGAAGAAGUAUUUCGGUAUGUAAACUUCUAUCAGCAGGGAAGAAAAUGACGGUACCUGACUAAGAAGCCCCGGCUAACUACGUGCCAGCAGCCGCGGUAAUACGUAGGGGGCAAGCGUUAUCCGGAUUUACUGGGUGUAAAGGGAGCGUAGACGGCAUGGCAAGUCUGGUGUGAAAGGCAGGGGCUCAACCCCUGGACCGCAUUGGAAACUGUCAGGCUGGAGUGCAGGAGAGGUAAGUGGAAUUCCUAGUGUAGCGGUGAAAUGCGUAGAUAUUAGGAGGAACACCAGUGGCGAAGGCGACUUACUGGACUGUAACUGACGUUGAGGCUCGAAAGCGUGGGGAGCAAACAGGAUUAGAUACCUUGGUAGUCCACGCCGUAGACGAUGAAUACUAGGUGUCAGGGAGCAAAGCUCUUUGGUGCCGCAGCUAACGCAAUAAGUAUUCCACCUGGGGGAGUACGUUCGCAAGAAUGAA